AGAGUUUGAUCCUGGCUCAGGAUGAACGCUAGCUACAGGCUUAACACAUGCAAGUCGAGGGGCAGCAUCAUCAAAGCUUGCUUUGAUGGAUGGCGACCGGCGCACGGGUGAGUAACACGUAUCCAACCUGCCGACAACACUGGGAUAGCCUUUCGAAAGAAAGAUUAAUACCGGAUGGCAUAAUUAUUCCGCAUGGGAUAAUUAUUAAAGAAUUUCGGUUGUCGAUGGGGAUGCGUUCCAUUAGGCAGUUGGCGGGGUAACGGCCCACCAAACCUACGAUGGAUAGGGGUUCUGAGAGGAAGGUCCCCCACAUUGGAACUGAGACACGGUCCAAACUCCUACGGGAGGCAGCAGUGAGGAAUAUUGGUCAAUGGGCGAGAGCCUGAACCAGCCAAGUAGCGUGAAGGAUGACUGCCCUAUGGGUUGUAAACUUCUUUUAUAAAGGAAUAAAGUCGGGUAUGGAUACCCGUUUGCAUGUACUUUAUGAAUAAGGAUCGGCUAACUCCGUGCCAGCAGCCGCGGUAAUACGGAGGAUCCGAGCGUUAUCCGGAUUUAUUGGGUUUAAAGGGAGCGUAGGCGGGUUGUUAAGUCAGUUGUGAAAGUUUGCGGCUCAACCGUAAAAUUGCAGUUGAUACUGGCGACCUUGAGUGCAACAGAGGUAGGCGGAAUUCGUGGUGUAGCGGUGAAAUGCUUAGAUAUCACGAAGAACUCCGAUUGCGAAGGCAGCUCACUAGACUGUCACUGACACUGAUGCUCGAAAGUGUGGGUAUCAAACAGGAUUAGAUACCCUGGUAGUCCACACAGUAAACGAUGAAUACUCGCUGUUUGCGAUAUACAGUAAGCGGCCAAGCGAAAGCAUUAAGUAUUCCACCUGGGGAGUACGCCGGCAACGGUGAAACUCAAAGGAAU
rnacentral:rRNA from 1 species